CAGCCGCCGCGGUAAUACGUAGGGGGCAAGCGUUGUCCGGAAUUAUUGGGCGUAAAGCGCGCGCAGGCGGUUUUUUAAGUCUGGUGUCUAAGUGCGGGGCUCAACCCCGUGACGCACUGGAAACUGGGAGACUUGAGUGCAGAAGAGGAGAGCGGAAUUCCACAUGUAGCGGUGAAAUGCGUAGAGAUGUGGAGGAACACCAGUGGCGAAGGCGGCUCUCUGGACUGUAACUGACGCUGAGGCGCGAAAGCGUGGGGAGCAAACAGGACUAGAUACCCCCGUAGUCCCUGUCUCUUAUACA
rnacentral:rRNA from 1 species